rnacentral:tRNA from 1 species
GGAGGGUAUAGCUCAGUGGUAGAGUGCAUGCUUAACAUGCAUGAGGUCCUGGGUUCACUCCCCAGUACCUCCA